rfam:Rattus norvegicus chromosome 10, whole genome shotgun sequence.
GGGGAUUUAGCUCAGCGGUAGAGCGCUUGCCUAGGAAGCGCAAGGCCCUGGGUUCAGUCCCCA